UGAGUAACCUGCCCUUAACUCUGGGAUAAGCCUGGGGAAACUGGGUCUAAUACCGGAUAUGACUCCUCAUCGCAUGGUGGGGGGUGGAAAGCUUUAUUGUGGUUUUGGAUGGACUCGCGGCCUAUCAGCUUGUUGGUGAAGUAAUGGCUCACCAAGGCGACGACGGGUAGCCGGCCUGAGAGGGUGACCGGCCACACUGGGACUGAGACACGGCCCAGACUCCUACGGGAGGCAG
rnacentral:rRNA from 1 species